GCCUUGUGGGAUGAUGAUGUGAUCGUGUAUCUCCUCACUGAUCUUGGCCCAUACUAUGAUCCAUUCGUCAUCUCGAUGACUACCAAGAGUGAAGCUCUCACACUUGAUGAUGUAUUUGCACAUCUAAUGGCAUUUGAAG